GACGAACGCUGGCGGCGUGCCUAAUACAUGCAAGUCGAGCGAAGUUUUUCUGGUGCUUGCACCGGAAAAACUUAGCGGCGAACGGGUGAGUAACACGUAAAGAACCUGCCUCAUAGACUGGGACAACUAUUGGAAACGAUAGCUAAUACCGGAUAAUAGCAUUAACUGCAUGGUUGAUGUUUAAAAGUUGGUUUUGCUAACACUAUGAGAUGGCUUUGCGGUGCAUUAGCUAGUUGGUGGGGUAAAGGCCUACCAAGGCGACGAUGCAUAGCCGACCUGAGAGGGUGAUCGGCCACACUGGGACUGAGACACGGCCCAGACUCCUGCGGGAGGCAGCAGUAGGGAAUCUUCCGCAAUGGGCGAAAGCCUGACGGAGCAACGCCGCGUGAGUGAAGAAGGAUUUCGGUUCGUAAAGCUCUGUUGUUAGGGAAGAAUGAUUGUGUAGUAACUAUACACAGUAGAGACGGUACCUAACCAGAAAGCCACGGCUAACUACGUG
rnacentral:rRNA from 1 species